ACCUCAUUUAAGGGCUGACAGCCACAAGGGAAACCUUUCUUCUUGGAGAUUGCCUCCUUUGGAGCAUUUGGUGAGCCCUAAUCCUCGGAAAGGGGGUAGCUAGGAAAAGCAUCUGAAUCUCUGCUGGCUAUCUCUUCUCCUGGUUUGGUUCAUUCUUGUCUUGAUUAACACAACUGAAAGCUUCAAAUUUUCACAGCUUUUAGAUUCUCUGAGGCACCUUCAUGACCAAUCACGAUAUCUCCUCAUUUCAGAGUUAAUGAGUCAGAAAGAUGAAAGUUGCUUCCAUUCUUGUUCUUCUGCUUCCACUGUAGCAAUUGUUGCUGUUCUUCAAGUUUUCUGAAGGGCUGAGUUACAUGAAACAGAUUUGGCUGCGAAAUUCUAUAAGAAAUUCUCAUAUAAUGACUGAUUGCCUUCUUACUAAUGGCAAGACAUUAUGUAGUUGCUUAUAUCUGUGAAUUAAUGUGGAAAACAAAAGCAGUGGGAAAAGACUAAUUGCAAAUAGAUUCUGCACUCUGAAUUGUGAAAGCUUCUGUGAAACAUAUACAUCUUUAUAUGUGUGUAUAUAUAACAUCAAAACACACUCAUACUUUUACUGAAAGUGUUCUUGGGUAACAUUCUUGCUUCAGGAGAAAGUUACAAAAUUAAGAUGCUUAGAAAAUGUAUUACACCUUUAUCCUUAGAUAAUAGCUGAUGUCCUCAUAGCUGAUUGUGAAUAAAAUACCUACCAGGGUGUUAGUUGAGCAUUAGUACAAUUUUCCAAAAAUAUGCCAUGCUAAAUGUCAUCAGUUUAAGUGACCCUUGAAUUAGGCACGCUGUUCUGAACACUAGAAGCUAGAAAUGGAAAAACAAACCAACCAAAGCAACAUUAACAAAAUCACUCUCAAGGACUUAAGUCCUUGCGACAGACAAUGUCGAGAGGAGUGGA